GACGAACGCUGGCGGCGUGCCUAACACAUGCAAGUCGAACGGAGUAUUUAGCAAUAGAUACUUAGUGGCGAACGGGUGAGUAACGCGUAGACAACCUGCCUCUAAACUGGGGACAACACCGCGAAAGUGGUGCUAAUACCGAAUGUGGUAACUUGGCUGCAUGGCUAAGUUAAGAAAGAUGGCCUCUACAUGUAAGCUAUCGUUUAGAGAUGGGUCUGCGUCUGAUUAGCUAGUUGGUGAGGUAAUGGCUCACCAAGGCGACGAUCAGUAGCCGGUCUGAGAGGAUGAACGGCCACACUGGGACUGAGACACGGCCCAGACUCCUACGGGAGGCAGCAGUGGGGAAUCUUCCGCAAUGGACGAAAGUCUGACGGAGCAACGCCGCGUGAGUGAAGAAGGUCUUCGGAUUGUAAAGCUCUGUCGUUUGGGACGAUCGUGGAUUGUGUGAAUAAUGCAGUCUAAUGACGGUACCAAAGGAGGAAGCCACGGCUAACUACGUGCCAGCCGCCGCGGUAA
rnacentral:rRNA from 1 species